rnacentral:rRNA from 1 species
UACGUAGGGCGCAAGCGUUAUCCGGAAUUAUUGGGCGUAAAGAGCUCGUAGGCGGUUUGUCGCGUCUGCCGUGAAAGUCCGGGGCUCAACUCCGGAUCUGCGGUGGGUACGGGCAGACUAGAGUGAUGUAGGGGAGACUGGAAUUCCUGGUGUAGCGGUGAAAUGCGCAGAUAUCAGGAAGAACACCCGUGGCGAAGGCGGCUCUCUGGAACGCAACUGACGCUGAGACGCGAAAGCGUGGGGAGCAAACAGG